rnacentral:rRNA from 1 species
AGCAGCCGCGGUAAUUCCAGCUCCAAUAGCGUAUAUUAAAGUUGUUGCAGUUAAAAAGCUCGUAGUUGAAUUUCGGAAUCGACGGAUUGGUCGCGCCUUCGGUGUGUACUGGUCUUGCCGGUUUCUCCCUUCUGACGAACCACGAUGUCAUUAAUUUGGUGUCGUGGGGAAUCAGGACUGUUACUUUGAAAAAUUAGAGUGUUUAAAGCAGGCAUUAGCUUGAAUACAUUAGCAUGGAAUAAUGAAAUAGGACGUUUGAUCUUAUUUUGUUGGUUUCUAGGAUCGACGUAAUGAUUAAUAGGGAUAGUUGGGGGCAUUAGUAUUCAAUUGUCAGAGGUGAAAUUCUUGGAUUUAUUGAAGACUAACUACUGCGAAAGCAUUUGCCAAGGAUGUUUUCAUUAAUCAAGAACGAAAGUUAGGGGAUCGAAGACGAUCAGAUACCGUCGUAGUCUUAACCAUAAACUAUGCCGACUAGGGAUCGGAUGAUGUUAAUUUUUAAUGACUCA